CACAGCUUUUCACAUCUUCUUUUUCCUCAGCAUCCACCUGGACAGUGUAUUUAUCCUCUGGCACAGGAACCUUCAGAACAUUAAACUUCUUCUCAAAAUCAUCUACCAAGCCAGCCUUUGCCACAUUGGGCUUGUAGUAAGCCCAGUCGAUAGCAGGUAGUUUCUCAGGAAGAGUAGUCAACCUGGAGGUAAGCAUCUCAUUCCAGAUUUCAGAGAGUUGGCAAUGGCCUUCUGGUUUCGGGGUAUGAUCUCCCCAAAAGCUACCCAGUCAGUGGUUUUUAGAGCAAGGUUUUCACCCAGCUGUCUUAAGAUCCUUCACUGACCCCGGCGGCCCAUAGUCCACAGCAGCCAUCAUCUAACCUAUUUCUGCAUCAUUGUCUUAUGUGAGUGGACGCUGAAGUCAGAUGUCUGUUUACCCUAGUGGAAGACAGGACGUGUACUUUUACCAAAUUCUGUGUGGGUAAGGGAGGCUCCACACUGAGGAACUACCAGAUGUAGAGAUGAUGUUCAAAAGCUUUGAGCAGAUGUUACUUGCUGACCACUAUCAUCUGAGAAAACUAGUUGAGAAUCAGCCUUAUUGGGGCAUCAGAGUGUAAAAUAUAUAAAAUAUAAUGUAGACAUGUAAAAAUAAGGUUUGAGUGAUCCCUAAAACAUGUUCAAUAUGUGUUCCUACUCAUUUGAAGAAUGUUUCCAUAAAGAUUGAACAUCUGAGCCUGUUAUUUCUUCUUAUGCCAUUUAUAUAGCCUUGGUUAAUGAAUAUGAACAUUAGUUAUGUUAAAGUUGCUUAAAAUUCAGGAACAGCCCAUAUUCAUUUAAAAUACAGUCUAGAUAUAUUUAGGCCCUGCAUUUCUAACUUGGUUGUGGCAAGUGGAAUCUUGUCUAAAGCCUUGAAACUGCAAGUACUCCUAAUUAGCUGUUGCUAGUAAAAAGGAAUCAUGGACAGAUUGAGAAGGAGUUUUUUUGUUGAUGCAGGUGUGAGAAGGAGAUGAAAAUCAAACAAAGGAACUUUUAGGAGCAACUUAGAAUAUUUGAAGCUGAAAACAUCCAAGAGAGAAAACUAGGAAAGUGUCUUUGCAGGGUUGACUUUAGCCUCUUUGGAAAAAUCUGAAUUUAUAAACUGAGAUGUUAAAACUGGACUGUACCCAUUAUCUUAAAACAUUGUAUAUUUCCUAGCACAGGAGGUCACUGUGUUCAAGUUGGCAUCUUCAACUUUAGAGAUACAUAAAGUUUGGAUUCUUUGAUUUAUUGCAUCUCAUCCCUAAGUCAAUGACUCAGAUGGAUCCCUUAUUUUUUAAAAAAAGUUUAUAUAAGAUUUUAUUUUGAUAAUAUCCUUUCAUUUUCUGAUCAGAAGUGUCAGAACUUCUGAGUGGAUUGUCUCAUAUCAAAUCCAACCCCUUGAUUACAUCACCCUCUCCCACAUACCUACAUGCUAAAGGUUUCAACUGGGCAGAAGAAUCUUUUUAUUUUAUAGUUCCAUAUAGAUAGGUUCUUUUUAAUUCCUAAUGUUAUAUAGAUAGGUUAAUGACUAGAAUGCCCCAGCCUUUCUUUACCAACACACAUUUUCUCUCUUCCUCUAGUCAUUUGCUGAAAUGAGGCUAGGUGUAAAUGACGUGAGAUGCCCUUCUCUGCUUCCAGAAAAAAAAAAAAAAAAAGAACUCAUGUUAGCCCUUAAUGUUUUUCCAUAUAUUGAAUCCUCAACACCUUUAAGUCAAACCUGUUGCUGCAGCAGCUCCUCUUUGCUGCUGUAGAUGCCAUGGCUGGCGUGCACAGCGCCACCCUAUGCAGAGGUACGGAGUGGUUGGGGUGACUUGGUCCAUGUCCUCUUUUCCAAUUUUCUGUGUUUUUCUGUGUUCUGUUCUGUGGGGGUUAGAAUGCCAAAAAGGGUGAGGGUUCUGAGUGCAAGUCAAAUUCUGCCAACUAGAUGCACUUGAGAUUUGAAAGGGGAUGUGAGUCAGGGCCAUCAUCCUGGUGCUAGCUUUUGCAACUGGCAGACACAGUUGCACACAUUUCGGACUGUCCUACAGCAGCACUCCAAUGUCCAGUCCCUAGACAUGUGGGGUCAGAGAGGCAUUGCAGUAGUGACAUCCAGGACUUCUAAUUCCUGGGUCACCACUGCAUUAGCAUAUGGUACUGAACAGGAUCCAGAUAGAGACUUGUAAUUCCCCACCCUCCUCAUUGUGGCUGAGGUGAUGGCCACCUCCUGCCAUAGACCAGUUUGGCCAUCUUUUUCUUGACAUGGAUCCUGGAAGUUCAUUCUAGUGUCUACCCAUCCAACCCUUCCAAUGUCCUCACUUAAAUACCUAUCCACUUAGAGUAGCUAGAGAAGUUUCCGUUUCCUACAAUGAACCCUGACUGUCAAGAUAUAUAUCUGUGGAUAGACCACUUAUGUCCUAUUUUAUUCCUAGAUUCUGCACUUCCUUUUCUUUAUAUAUCUGGAGCUACUUGACCCCACCCACACACCCCAAUCCCUACUGCAGGUGACUAAUAGGAGUUCCAGAAAGACAGAAAUAGGGUAGGAAUUAUUAAAGAGUCAAUGCAAGACUAUUUAGCAGAAUCGAAGAAUGUAUUACCAGACUAAAGAGACCCUGCAAUACCGAUUCCAAGUCAGAAUGAAAUUGCAGACUAUCAGGGAUAAUCAAAAAUCUUCCAAAGAAGAGGGGGGGAAAAUGUGACAAAGGAAAAAACAAAUGGUACCAAGCUUUCCAGCAGAAUGCUGGAAAAUAGUGAAGCAAUCUGAUCCAAAUUUUGAGGGUAAAAUUUUUUCAUUUGGAAUUCAGUACAGCCUACCAUACCAAUCAAGUGUGAACACAGAAUAUACACAAUCAAUUAUGAUAAUAAAAAUAUUUUCAGACAGCAAAGCCUAGGAAAAAGCCUUUACUCCCAUAUACUGCAUCUUAGGGAAUUGCUGGUGGAUGUGCUUUAGCAAAAGAAGGCAUAAACCAAAACAAACCAACAAACAAGAAUAUAAAGUGUUGCAGAAGGAGAGGAGGGUGGAGGGAUGGGGCAAUUGCAUUGAUGGGCACUAAGGAGGGCACUUAAUGAGAUGAACACUGGGUGUUAUACUAUAGGUUGGCAAACUGAAUUUAAAUAAAAUAUUAAAAAAAAAAAAAAGAAUAUGUGGGAUCCAGGAAGCAAGAGAUUCAACACAAGGGGUUUGUUCAGUAAAAGAAGAUGCCAGGGCACAGCUGAGCAACAGCCCAGAGAACAACCAGUUCAGACAAGACAGGUGGGAGGUGUAUGGAAGGGAGAGAAGGGAGAGAGAAAUGGAAACAGUGUAUUAUUUAAUGUGCUUGAGCAUUAAAAAAUUAUUGAUAAGCACCUGAGAAACAUUGGAGAAUUUAGAAAACAUCAACAGGAACAUAGAAAACUGAAAAAAAAAAAAGAGACAAUUCUUAAAUUAUUAACUCUAGGAAUCGUAAAACUACAGGAAAGGACAUGUACCUCUAGUACAUUGCAUGGCUCAGAGGGUAACUCAGAACAUAUGCAAUUAUUACAUGACCAUAAAAGUUUUAAAAUGUUAUUUAUUUGAAUUUUUUUUCAGUCAUGACUUAGCUGUAUGAAGAGAAGGAGGUAGGCCGAGGAUGGUAGUGUCAGAGAGCUGAAUCUAACACUCCAUAUUAACAAGAAGUUAGGAGGUAAUUGCUAAAAUCGAUCAAUCCAGGGAAAACAAUGUGUGCAUGUCGUGUAGAAAUAGGGAGGUAAGUACCAGAGGAAUCAAGUGGAAGAACUGAGAGUGGUUGCCCCUGGAGGUGAACUGGCUGGGCAGAAGCUGCUGUUUUUCAUUAGAAGCUAUAUUUCUUAAGAUAAUUGAAUGUAUUGGUUUUUAUUUUAAGAAUUUAGACAGUUUUCUUGGGGAAAUUUAGAAACAAAGUAUAAAGAAGAAAACAAAAAUAAUCAAUGAAGCCUCUAUACUUGCUUAACCUUUUGGUGACUUGUCCUUCAAUAGUCUCAGUAUGUAUAGAUGUUUUUUAUAUAGGUAUUAUCCUAAUAAUUUCAUAGCCAAAACUAUUUUAAUCUUCACUUUCUUUUCUUUUCUUUUUUUUUUUUUUUGAUUAAAGAUUUUAUUUAUUUAUUCAUGAGAGAUAAAGAGAGAGAGAGAGGGAGAGGCAGAGACACAGGCAGAGGGAGAAGUAGGCUCCAUGCAAGGAGCCUGACAUGGGACUCAAUCCCGGGUCUCCAGGAUCAGGCCCUGGGCCAAAGGUGGCACUAAACUGCUGAGCCACCUGAGCUGCCCUAAUCUUCACUUUCUUAAUCACAAGUGAUGUUAAACCCUUCUUCCUAUGUUUAUCAGCCGUUUGCAUUUCCUCUAUUAGUUGCUUUUACUUGUCUCUGCCCCAUUGUCUUUUGGAUAUUGAUCUUCCUAUUAUCAACUUGUAUGAGAUUUUGCUUUUCAAUUCUGCUUGUUUAUGCUGCCAUGUUUAUUUUUAUGGGGUCACUUUUUUUUAAAUAUCUUGACCUCUGUGACCUCAACUUAUUAAUAUCCCUUAAUUAAUUCCUUUCGUGGUUCUUGCCCAUGAUGAUGUCCUAAGUUCUGUGUCCCUCCUGGUCUGGCCCUUGACAUCUGUUCAGGCCUCUCUUCCACAGACCCCUUCCAUUACAGUCAAGACCUGCCAUCCAAAGCCAAGCCCCUCAAACAGGAUUUCCGUAUCUCCACACCUUGACAGACACGCAUGCUUUCUGCCUGAAAUGCCUUUUCUUUACUGUCUGCCCAGAAAAUACCUUUUGAGCUAUAUCGUACCUUCUUGACCAUCUUUUCUGCAUUAUUUCCACAUUCAACUGUUACUAACAUACUAACUUGUUUUGGAAUUCAUUGUCAAUUCUGUCUCCUCUGUUAGUCUGUGGGCUUCCUUUGUCUAUGUCUGUUCAGCUUUGUAUCCCCAGUUGCAGCACAAUGCUGGGUAUUUCGUAAACACUCCAUGGAUGUUGCCUUAGUGUUGAAUACUUCCAUAUUUGUGGUAGGGGCCAUUCCACAGUGGCCCCAAGAUUCCCUCCUCCUCCAGUUCAGGUAGGACCUGUGAAUAUAAUGAAAUAGUCAUUCUCUUGAUUAGGUUACAUUAUAUGGCAAAGGUCAUGUUACCUUUGAAAGAUUAAACUGUAGCCAACUAGAGGAAGAGUCUCCCCCUGGUUGUGAAGAAGGCAGAUGCUAUUCUGUGAAGGUGCCAUAGGCUAGAACCCGAGGCAGCCUCUAGGGGCUGACAGCCAACAUGAAAACAAGGACCUUAGUACUACAACCACAAGGUUCUAAAUUCUGCCAACCACCUGAAGGAGGUUGGAGGAGGAUUCCAAGAUUCAGAUAAAAGAUGCCAGCCUCGGCCAACACCUGGAUUUCAGUCUCGUGAGACCCUAAGUGGAGGACCUAAGAGGUGCCCAGACUCCUAAUCCAAGGACGCUGCAGAUAAUAGGUCUGUGCUGCUUUAAGCCACUAAGUGUGUUGCAAUGUCUUCAGCAGUAGAAAACUGAUACAGCAUUCAAGCUGCUAUUAUAGGGCAUUGGGGCCUUGAAUCUCAGGAGCAAUGACUGGGUGUCCUUUAAGACCUUAUAGUUUGGAUAACUGGAUCCUUGUUUUGAUUAUUAAUUAAUUAAUUAAUUUUGAUUAUUAAUUAAUCCCUCUAAGACCUGCCCUGCCAAACUCCCACCACUAUCUCUUAAAAAGAAACAAAGUCCUACUAACGUAGGCAUUCUUCUCUGUGCUAACCCCCUAUUGAUCAACAACAAAGUUUAGUUACUGCUCUUGGAUUCCCUCUUACCGUGUUCUGUCCCCAUGCAAUGUCACUCCUGUUAUUUUGCAAUGAAUUUCCCUUCCCAAUGGAACCACAUAUGUGUGAGCUGCCACUUACUAUUUAUUGCAAUAAUUUUUAUAUGUUGCAUUAAGUCUGCUUGACUGAACCCUCGAUAACCCACAGCCUAGUCUUGUUCACAGUCCAGAAGUCCAGAAGGUAGAUCUGUAUCCUUCUCAGACUUCCCUCUAAUAAGUUACCAGGCCCAGUAUUCUAGAAUUGGGCCAGUUGGGUCCCUCAGGUGAGAUAAAAUUAUUAAUACAAGUCAUUUAAAAGAACAUUUAAAUAGAUAAUGCUAUUUGCUUUAAUUUAGAAAAUAUGAGAAGAAAGACAUUUUUUAAACUUUUAAUUGCUACAAAAAUGCCCCAAAUUCUUUUAAUUUAUUUAAUAAAUGAUUUAUUAAGUAAAACUGUACUUUUUUUUAAAACCACCUAAAAUAGUAAAAGAUUUGGAAUCUUGGGGCACCUGGGUGACCUAUUCUGUUAAACAUCUGCCUUUGGCUCAGGUCAGGAUCACAUAGUCCUGGGAUCAAGUCCUGCAUCAGGCUCUCCUGCUCCCCCUGCUUGUGCUCUCUCUCUCUCUGUCAAAUAAAUAAAAUCUUUUUAAAAAAUAAAAUAAAAAAUUUGGAAUAUCCUGAGAUUUCUAAUGUUGAUAAAAGACAGUAAAAAGUUCCACUUGAGUUGCAGGGGCAAGUGAUUUAAAAGGACAGGUGAUGGUUAAGGAAGAGCGAGUUGGGGCAGGUCAAACUACUGUGCUGCUUGAAGGAAGCCAGCAGGGCGGAGGAGGGCUGCCAACUGCCACAUUGGGAAGAAUUUAUCCCAGUAACAGACCGGUCUCAAAAUGUCUGAGACUAGGCCUGGUCUUCACAUCAUUUAUAAAAGGCUACAGCCUGAGCCUCAAGGCAGCUCCCCUCAUUUUCUGUAAAUGAACCAACAACUUCAGGCUAUGUAAGGCAGACCCCACUUACUUUUCAGAAACACUAAAUUCACUUGAAUUACCCAUAUUAUUUGUGUUUAAUUUUUUUAAGGCAAUCUAAAAAGAAUUUACUAGAAAUGGGACUCUAUAAGUACAGCCAGUGCCAAAAUAACAGAAUAAAGAUUCUUUACCAUGUUCAGAUGCUUUCCAAAAUGUAGAAUAAUUAAAAUGUAAGAGGCAAAAAUAGUUUCAGAAAAGAAUAAUGCUGACAUUUUCAGAUACUCUGCCAAAGCAAAGCUCCUCUUUUGGUGUGCAGCAGCCUGACUUAGAUGAUCACCAGUGGGGGAAUGAGCCACUGCUGACUCCCUGCCAAACCCCUCCACCCCCACGUGCCAUCCCCACUGUAGGCGAUCAAGUAGGCCUUGUUAUCACACUAGGGUCAAGUCACUAAAAAGAUGUUUAGGCGUGAAAUGUCAUAGCUAUUUCAGUAAUUGAAAUACAUGGUAUUUCCUUAUUUUCCCCUUCAAAAUGGGGAAACCGCACACUUCAAAAUGUGAGUACUAGAUACAUUUUUCAGGACACCCUCAGAACCAGUUCAAGACCUACAUAUCAUGAUUUAAUUUAAGCCCUCUCAGAAAAUGUGCCUUUCUCCAAACUUUUCCAGCCUACUCUAUGUAAUAUUCCUCACAUUAGAGUCACUUCCAAAAGGCCCUCUAGAUGCACACUUGCACAAAGAUAUUAAGGUGCAUGUUAGCAUGUGUAUAACUUGUUAGAAUGUGUUACUUUUGAUAUAUGCAUUGCCACUGGGCAUUAAGCAAUUGCUAUGGAAAGAGACCAGACGUCAACUUUAUUAUUGUUGCUGAAGCUUUUAUUAUGGAAAUUCUAAAAAAUGCACAAAGGUAGAAAUAAAAUGUAAUGUGUCCUCCAUGUAUGUACCCACCACCGAGGUUUAACAAUUAUCAACAUUUAUCAAUAGUUACUAAUUUUGUUGUUUCCUUUUGUGUAAAAAAAUUGUGUUUCCUUUUUCUCUCCUCUUAGAUAUUUUUAUGGCAAACAAGUCCUGACUGGAUGUGUAAUAUCUUAUAGAGAGGAGUUAAGCAAGUUUCAGAGAAGAGUUCCCUGGCUGGGCAGCCUGUCCAGGUGGCAGUGGGUGACACUAGCAGAGGUUGUCAGCAAGUAGGAGGUACUAGCACAGGCCUGGGGUACUGAAAGGGCAAUGAGUUUUUUUGUUUUUUUAAAUGUAUAUUUUCUGAAAAAGAACGAACUAAUGUUGACUGCAAAAAAAAAAAUCUUGUUUUGUUUCAGCUUAAGUAUAGGAUAGGAAGAUUGUGCCUAUAUUUUCAUUUAUUUCAAAGUAUUUAUUUUACACUUAAAAUACUCAUAAUUACACUGAGUUUAAACACUUCUUGUAAGCAGGAUGGUAACCCCAUUUGUUCCCAGUUCAUUUUACAGCCAGUUUUUUUUUUUUUAAGAUUUAUUUAUUUAUUUAUUUUGGUUGGAGGGGAGGGAUAGAGGGAGAGGAAGCACAUUCCUCGUUGAGGGAGGAGCCAGACACUGGGCUGGAAAUUGUGACCUUCGUGACCUGAGCCAAAAUCAAGAGUUGGUGGCUUAACUGACUGAGCCACCCAGGCAUCCAUCUACAACGAAUUCUUAAAGACCAAAGAUAGUGAUUUCACAGAUUUUAGGAAAUAUAUUAAAAAGUUUCACCAUCUUUCACAUUCAGGAAAACUAUUAUUGUUGUUAUUAUUAAAAAUGCUAUAUAUCUUUGAUUAUAUUGAAUAUUUCCAUUUCUUUUCCUUUGGAAAAGUGGCAGCUCUUUAACAAACCUCUAUUUCCAAAUAUUCAAACAUAGUUUUUCAGAUAGUCCCUUGUCUAAGUGUAAAUGUAACCCAAGGGACUGGCUCUUCCUUGCACUAGCAUGUUUGGGAAUAGCCCUUGAGUUAUAUAUUCCUCACUGCAGAGGUGACCUCCCUGCCACUUGGCCACUCAGUGCCCAUCUGUGGCUCCUGGUCCUGCCCAUACCUCUGUCAUGCCCCCACCUUCUCUUGGUGGGAUGCUGAUGGUGCAGGUCUGGCAUGGUGGAGGGUGGUAGGGGAGGGCCAUACUUCCUGUACCUCUGUCCCUUCCACCCCCUGGUGCUCAUGUCAUUCUCUCUCUCAAGGUUGGAGGUGACUGAGAUUGUGUUUGGGGCAGCACAGAUAGAGGAUAACCACACACUAACAUGAUAAGGGCGGAGAGAGGAGAUUUGCUGAUUCUGCACCAGAGUGCACAGGAACAUAGAUGACUACACUUGAUAUCUGAUUCUUACUCCCUGGGCCAUCCCCAUCUCCAGCCAUUUCUCACUGGCUAUUUUUUUUUCUCUCUGAGUACCUCAUUCUUUCAUUUACUUUCCACAGUUGUUAUUGUUCUACUUAUAGGAUACUCUUUUAUUUUCCAUUUGAAACUUUUGUGGACUCUAUACAUAUACGCCAAAAAACUAAAGUUGCUUCCUAGUCAAAAGUGCCAACUAGUCCUGGUGGGCAGGCUUAGUAGUAAAACAUUUUACAGUAACAAUUUUUCUUUAAUAUGUCCUAUGUAAAAUUUGUAAAAAGAACUUACUCCCCAGCAGACCCUAUAAGCAGCAGGGAAGGGAUAGAAAAAUAUGUUCCUCUCCUCAUAGAGUCAGUCCCUAGGUGUUGAGAAUAUGGAAGGAUGGAUUUUUUUUUUCUUCCAGUUAGGUAAAAAUCAAAUGAAUGCCCCAUUUCUGCUCAGAUUCAUUCGAAAAAUCAAGUCUGAUUUUUCCUUCAUUUUAAAACUAGAAUCUAUCUACAGUUUCUUAAAUCCCAUAAUAGCAACCUCCUACUCAGAGACAAAAUGGAAACCUCUGUACACUGUUCUGUAAUCAAAGCAUCUUCACACAGUUGUACACAGGAAAAAAAUCCAAAAAACAAGGCAACAACAGGCAAACUAUAUAAAAUCAUAUAAAUAUUAUGUAAAAGCAUCUUAGUUGUAUUUGACAAUACAACUAAUUACCAAUAAAAAUUGCUAAACCA